CCGGCACCCCUCCCUCGGAGGGAAGCGAGUGGCGAACGGCUGAGUAACACGUGGAGAACCCGCCCCCUCCUCCGGGAUAGCCUCGGGAAACCGUGGGUAAUACCGGAUGACCCCGCAGGGCCGCAUGGCCCCGCGGGCAAAGCCCAGACGGGAGGGGAUGGCUCCGCGGCCCAUCAGGUAGACGGCGGGGUGACGGCCCACCGUGCCGACGACGGGUAGCCGGGUUGAGAGACCGACCGGCCAGAUUGGGACUGAGACACGGCCCAG
rnacentral:rRNA from 1 species